UACGGAGGAUCCAAGCGUUAUCCGGAAUCAUUGGGUUUAAAGGGUCCGUAGGCGGUUUGGUAAGUCAGUGGUGAAAGCCCAUCGCUCAACGGUGGAACGGCCAUUGAUACUGCCAGACUUGAAUUAUUAGGAAGUAACUAGAAUAUGUAGUGUAGCGGUGAAAUGCUUAGAGAUUACAUGGAAUACCAAUUGCGAAGGCUAG
rnacentral:rRNA from 1 species